AGAGAAGUACUGUGAACAGGAACAUAUUUGGGGGAAAAAAAUGGCCGGCUUUUAUUAAAUAGCUUCUUUUGAAAGUUUAGCUGACAACUAUGAGAGUACAAACACACUCAGCAUUAAUGUCCCUCUCUUGAAAAUAGGAACUUCUGGACACUAUUUAAAGCUCAGCAUGCAGCGUCUUAUUCUGAUGGGUCAAAACCUGCAGUCGCUCAUGUAGAUUCCGUGCCUCCUGUUCUGCACGUCGCAGCUGAUUAUUAU